GACGAACGCUGGCGGCGUGCUUAACACAUGCAAGUCGAACGGAAAGGCCCUGCUUUUGUGGGGUGCUCGAGUGGCGAACGGGUGAGUAACACGUGAGUAACCUGCCCUUGACUUUGGGAUAACUUCAGGAAACUGGGGCUAAUACCGGAUAGGAGCUCCUGCUGCAUGGUGGGGGUUGGAAAGUUUCGGCGGUUGGGGAUGGACUCGCGGCUUAUCAGCUUGUUGGUGGGGUAGUGGCUUACCAAGGCGUUGCCGGGUAGCCGGCCUGAGAGGGUGACCGGCCACAUUGGGACUGAGAUACGGCCCAGACUCCUACGGGAGGCAGCAGUGGGGAAUAUUGCACAAUGGGCGGAAGCCUGAGGCAGCAACGCCGCGUGCGGGAUGACGGCCUUCGGGUUGUAAACCGCUUUCGCCUGUGACGAAGCGUGAGUGACGGUAAUGGGUAAAGAAGCACCGGCUAACUACGUG
rnacentral:rRNA from 1 species